rnacentral:rRNA from 1 species
UACAGAGGGGGCAAGCGUUGUUCGGAAUUACUGGGCGUAAAGGGCGCGUAGGCGGCCUUCUAAGUCAUGCGUGAAAUCCCCGGGCUCAACCCGGGAACUGCGUUUGAUACUGGAGGGCUUGAAUCCGGGAGAGGGAUGCGGAAUUCCAGGUGUAGCGGUGAAAUGCGUAGAUAUCUGGAGGAACACCGGUGGCGAAGGCGGCAUCCUGGACCGGCAUUGACGCUGAGGCGCGAAAGCCAGGGGAGCAAACGGG